UACGUAGGGGGCUAGCGUUGUCCGGAAUCAUUGGGCGUAAAGAGCGUGUAGGCGGCCCGGUAAGUCCGCUGUAAAAGUCAAAGGCUCAACCUUUGAAUGUCAGUGGAUACUGCCGGGCUAGAGUCCGGAAGAGGCGAGUGGAACUCCUGGUGUAGCGGUGGAAUGCGCAGAUAUCAGGAAGAACACCAACGGCGAAGGCAGCUCGCUGGGACGGUACUGACGCUGAGACGCGAAAAGCGUGGGGAGCAAACAGG
rnacentral:rRNA from 1 species